GCUCGAAUAGCUUAUAGGUUAGAGCGCGACACUGAAGAUGUCGAUGAGGUAUUUAAUUGCCUUUGAGUA
rnacentral:tRNA from 1 species